rnacentral:rRNA from 1 species
UACGUAGGGACCGAGCGUUGUCCGGAAUCAUUGGGCGUAAAGAGCGUGUAGGCGGCCUUUUAAGUCCUGCGUGAAAUCCUGCGGCUCAACCGCAGACGGUCGUGGGAAACUGGAAGGCUAGAGUGCGGGAGAGGAGAGUGGAAUUCCCGGUGUAGCGGUGAAAUGCGCAGAUAUCGGGAAGAACGCCCGUGGCGAAGGCGGCUCUCUGGAACGCAACUGACGCUGAGACGCGAAAGCGUGGGGAGCAAACAGG